rnacentral:lncRNA from 10 species
AAAACUCCCUUCUGUUCAAAAACCCUAUGAUCCAUGCACCCUCUGUCUAAUCCUCUGCGAUGGGGCCAGUCUGCAGAUCCGUCUGGGCGGGCUGCGGUAGCAUUCUCCACCUGCCAACACUCAGUUGCUGGUGAGUAACCAGCAUACGGACUCUCACUUCCUAGAUGACGCCUUGCUGUGUUGCCCAGGGUGGUCUCUAAUUCCUGGCCUUUAGCAAUUCUCCCGCCUUGGCCUCCUAAAGCACUGGGGUUACAGGCAUGAACCACUGUGCCCAGCCUGCAUGAUGUAAUCUCCAAAUUGAGGGCAGGAGAGAGAGUGGUCUCACAACGGAAGGGCACCAGCCACUGAGAAGUCCUAAGGCCGUGUUUGAGUUCUGGCUCAUCUUUUUUGCUAAUUUGCUCUUAUGCAUAUCACCCAACCUCGCUAAGCCAGUUUCAUCAUCAGCGAGAACAGCACACUGACAUGCAGGGCCAGCUCAGGCGCUACCACAAGCUACACAUCCGUCCAUUCGUUUAAUCUUCACAGCAGCCCUGGAGGUCACCCAGGCAUGGAAUGCACAGCUCUGCCAGACAGAAAGCGCUUUGGAUGCCUGAGAAACAACAGCUUGUCCGGGCUACUGAUGCGAAGAGAGGCCAUGGUUUCCUUUUUCUCUGCUCUGAAUGGCAGCCUUGACGUCACAACAGCUAGGAACCACUGGAGGGACAAAUAACAAGGCGCAAGCCAGAAGCGCCCUGCUCUGUCGCAGGGGCAGGGCCAUUUUCAUCCAGUUCUGAUGUCUUCUGUGGCCGCUGCGAGUCGGCGGGAGUAGAGACAAAUGACUGGAGCUUUAGGCGUAAAGGCGGUCUCUCUCUAGGCUGAUCAAACAGCCCUUUGCCCAGUGCUAAUUGCCUUCACGGAACCUGGAUAAACUACAGUUCCCGAAUUAAACUUGUUUCUGAUGAACUAGA